UUACAAUAAUCUCUCUAAAAUUCCAUGUUCAUUUUUGAAUAGCCUCAAACAUGCCUAUUUUGCUUUUAUUCACUAAACUCAGCCCACCUGAAAUGCCCUUUACAUCUUCACUACUUACUCUAUCAUGAUUUCUUCCUGAGAGACUAGCUCUGUAUCCUAAAAGCUUCAAGUUGCUAUACUCCCCCAUGAAUGGCCACUGCACUGUUACAGUGUUUCCACUGUGUAUGGGUGUGCAUGUACCUGUGUGUGUAUAACUUGUCUUGAAAUCUUGCAUCACUGUUUUUGUAAAUAUUUCCAUUCUAUCUUCCUACUUUAAAACAUCAUCUUUGAGGUAAGAGGCACCAUAUAUGUAUUCAUGUUUUCACUUACAACCAGCAUGAUAGGUGGGCUUGGGUAAUUUCAAGGCUAGCUAGGAGGAUUAGAAAAGAAAUCCUAAUACCUUCUCUUCCUGAGACUUUGAAUAAUGGGUGUGAGGAAAAAGAAGCCCCCACUCCACAUCCACGUUUGCAUUUUUUAAUGAAAGCUUUUAGGGUUUAGGGCUAGUGUUGGGUAUGUGGACUGAAGAGGAGAGCAAGAGCUUGAGUCUGUAGAGGGGGCGUGGUGCACUAGACAAUGCACUCAUUUCUUUGAUGAAGCAGAGAAUUUUGAAUGAAUAAAAAUUGCAGAUGAAAAUCAGAGUGUGAAGAAAGUAUGCUCUAAUGACGUGUUCCUAGCAUCUCUGUCAUUCCCUUCAAAGCACACACAGUGCAGAACCUGGAAGCCUGCCAGUGCCUCUCAGGAGUUGUGUUUGUCACACCUGAAGAAGAAAGAACUGCCAAGAUGACCAGAAGACGCACUGGUGUUCAGACUGCUCUGUCAGCCUGCCCAUUCUGGGGUCUUUGGCCUCAAUGCAAAUCAGCGCAGGUUGAUGCUAGAUGCACAGGGGAAUUUAAAUAAGAACUUGGAGCUGAGCUACUUCUUGCUUAUCAUUCACCCCAGCUGCCUCCCCUGUCCCAAAAGGGGCCUGGCCAGUGUUCCAGAGUCAGCCUCCCACAGUAUUUUAAAUAAGACUUUAUUUUGUCUCUUCCGUGUUAGGGUUUCUGGUUGCCAGAUUUCUGAGCUAAUUAAAAGGAGCAGAGACAGGUCUUGCAUUUUUUCCCUCCUUAGUGAGUUAUUGGCAGGAUUUCCAGUAUUUUAGGUCAGAGUUUAUGGAAACAAGUCAGAAAACACUCUUCCUUGACUGGCAGUUUAAAUCACCACCAUGGCAGUUAAAAAGCACAGGGUGAACUCUAAAGGAGCUUCUGUUGCACGGGUGACAUUGCCUCCCUCAACAGUCGGGACAGGCCACUUGCUUCUGGUUCCAGAAUAUUGUUUGAAGGGAUCCUCUACAUUUUAGAGGUGGAGAUUGUGACCUGCCCACUACUCUGUCCUCUUCCUGACAUAGGCUUUGUCACAGGGUAAAUACUUCAAAACGCUUGAAUUGAGUUGAUUUAUUUUAAUACCCUAUCCCUCAGAAAAUGUCAUUUGGAUCAGUCACAUCUAACUUAACAAAAAGGAAGAUAAGGCUGGACACCUGAAAUGUACUUUUCAUCUUGAUCUCAGUGCUGCUGUACACUGCUGGAUUUUUACUGGACUGCUUCCCCCUUUGCUACUUUCUUUUUCUAUGCUCGGCUGUUGGUAGUGUUCCAGGCCAUCUGUCUGCCUAGGCCAGUCCUGUAUAGUGCAUUGGGAUUUUCCUCAGUGUAGAGGACAGGGUUAUAGAAGGAAUAAGGUCAGCUAUUGCAGGAUGAGCUUGGAGGGUGGAAUAGUUUCAGAAUAUAGGUGUCGAGAAUGGGAAAUGAGACAAAGACAAAGAACUUGAACAAAAUAGAGAUGAAGACACCUGGCUAUAUACCUAUAUAUGUGUAUAUAUGCGUAUACGUGUGUACGUGUACAUAUAUGUAUACAUGUAUAUAUGAAAUUAGUGUUUCUGUUCAUAGAAAUGGGAAGAUACCAAGUUGUGAGACUCACGCUCUAUGCUUAUUUAAAUAUUUGACAUUUUAUUUUUUAAGAAAGGAAAGCUUCUUUGCAUUUGGAGAAAAAAGUAGAUGACAUAAUACAGGUCUGGUAUAACUUAACUGAGUUAAUGAGUUCAGCAAAUUUAACUGGUGCCUGCAAUCUACACAGGAAGUAGAGAGUUCUCACUGAGGUGAGAAUUGUAUAGCUUAAUAUGAUUUUAUGUGGCUUUUAUAAGGAAAUUAUUUUUUAAAGUGGCUUUAAGAAUACAAACUGUCACAUUUGGAAUAGGUAAGCAGUGGGGUCCUACUGUACAGCACAAGGAACUAUGUUCAAUCUCUUAGAUUUGAACAUGAUGGAAGAUAGUAUGAAAAAAAAAGAAUGUACAUAUAUAUAUGACUGGGUCACUUCGCUGUACAACUGAAAUUGAAGGAACAUUGUAAAACAACUAUGCUUUAAUCAUAAAGAAUAUCUCCAUCAUCAUAUCACCAUUUUGUUGUAUCCCUCAUUUCUUUAAUUGGAAGUCCCUUUUGUCACUAAACAAAACUUUCAAUAUUAUUUAUUCACACUAAGGUGAGUGAUCUGAAGUGAUACUCCCCUUAGGCAUAGUUUCAUCUCAGAAGAUGAAACACAAUAGCCAUUAAACCAAAAAUUCAGGCUGCUAGUGGCAAAAUUCAAGGCGUCAACUAUUGAUCAAUGGGGACCUGCUAUAUAGCAUGGAGAACUCUGCCCAAUAUUCUGUGAUAAUCUAUGCAGGAAAAGGAUCUGAAAGAGAAUAGAUUUGUGUACAUGUAUAACUGAAUCAUUUUGUUGUACAGCAGAAAUUUAUCACAACAUUGUAAAUCAACUAUACUUCAAUAAAACUUUAAAAAUUGUUUGGAAUGGAUAAGCAAUAAGAUCCUGCUAUAUAGCACUGAGACCUUUAUCUAGUCACUUGUAAUGGAGCAUGAUGGAAGAUAAUGUGAGAAAAAGAAUGUGUAUAUAUGUGUGUGUGUGUGUGUGUGUGUGACUGGGUCACUUUGCUGUACAGUAGAAAUUGACAGAACACUAAACCAAUUAUAACGGGAAAAAUAAAAAUCAUUAAAAAACUUUAAUGAGAAAGAAAAAACACAAAAAAACAAUGGGGGACAAUUUUACAGCCUGGUUCUUUUCAUGACAUCAACACUCACUGCUUAAGCUUAUUUUACUAAUGUACGAAUAUAGUUCUGCCCAUACAGUUCAGCACAGAUUUAUCCUAAAAGGAAUGGGAUGAGAUUUUAAGAAAUUAUGAAAAAUCAGCUCAAGAUCUUCACAGUUCAAAUGUUAGAUGAAUAUUCUCCCUAACUGUGGGUUACUUCUUCUGUUCCUCAACUUUGUCACCUCAGUGAGAACUCCCUACUUUUGAGGUAGAUUGUCAGCACCAGGUAAUUUUUCUGAACUCUAUUAACUCUGUUAAGUUAUGUCAAAACUAUAUUACGUCAUCCAGUUUUUCUUCAGUCCCAGGAAAGUGGUAUAUUCUGCAUUAAUGUUUUCCAAGUAACUGAAGUUUAAUUUUUAAAUAGCUAUUUUUAACAAUUCUUAAUUGUAAAUGUUUACCAGUUAUUCAGCACUCUUAGAACACCUGGAUUUCCAUUCAAAUUUUUAAUGAUUAAUGACCCAGACCAUCAGUAUAAAUAGAAACUGUACUUUGAGAAACUGUAUUAAGCCUUUGGAUUUUAUUAGGUUAUUAAAGUCUGAUUGUCCCUACUCUAAAUGCUUCUUAAGUUAUUGUAUCUGUUUGGAAGUUUUCUGCUUCUUUCUUUAAUGUCCCUACUACUUCUUAUUCUUAUUGUAAAGUAUAUGCACUUUGGUAUGUGAUGUUUAUAACCUUUGGACAUUCUUAGACCUGUUUUUGUGGCUUCAUUUUCUAUUCUUGUCAUUGUUUUGAAUGCAUCAUGUCCCAAGUUGUGUUUCUCCUGAAGUCGACUUCAAACAAAAUUUGAGUGCAGGUCAUUUAUUUGGGAAAUAAUUUCAGGAAAAUGGGUAAUGGAAUGUGGAAGUAUAACCAAGAAUGCAGGGAAGACAUCGUGGGUGUGUUAGGUACUGCUAGAGGUCAGCCUCACUGUGAAAUGUUGGCGCACCGUGAGGAACAAGUCUCAGAGCCUUUGCACCUAACGGCAAAGAAGCUGGGGAUUAGUCCUCCUAUUUUACCUGUCAUUAGGUGAGAGCUAUCUCUAGGGACCUUAAUUUCCUGGGACUUUUAGCCUGCCUCCUGAAUGCCAAGAGAAAACCUUCCAGUGGAGAGUCAUGUGGGCUUGCAAUAGGACAUGGUCAACCUUUUCUGAGAUGGAAUCUUCCACGUGAAUUUGGACAGGUGGACUGAAUAGCAUCUGCCAUUAGCAGGUAACAAUUAAGGAAUCCUUGAAUACAUGAGGGGCAUUGUAUUUAAUCUCUCUUUUUCAAUUCUAACACACUCUAUGACAAGAUAUUAUUUUAAGUUGUUGGAACAAUCUUUGAUUCUAACAUAGGCUAGAGCUAUAUCUAGCCAUUUUAUCAGUUGUGUUUCAGUUUAAAUUUUCUUCUACUAUCCUGAUACUUCAUUUCUUUUCUGGUUUUAUUGGAGGAUGCAUUGGCUAUAAUAGCAUGGUAAAUAUGAUUUGUUUACUUAAAGUAUUCAACCUAGGCUAGUCAGUUCUCAACAUGGUGUACCACAUUUGUGGAAGGUGCUGUUUGUAAUUGACAGGUAAAUUGCACAUGCCUGUAAUCUUAUAGCAACAUCUGGGGUGGCUUGAGAAACAUCCUGUUACUUUUUAUUUGGUUGUAUACUCCCCAUUAUAUGUGGUAAAUUUCCACUAAGCCUCUUUGCCCCCUACCCUCCAAGUACAUAUUAUGUUUCUUAUGCAGACAGACUUAUCUUUUCUCAUAUACAGGCAGCAGAUGUGAUUAGAGGGAAAUCUAAUUUAUCUGGAGUACUCCAGAAAUGGAAGAAAAUUACUUCACAGCAAUAUUUGCAAAUGCAUUCAUCACAGACACCCAGACAUUCCAACACUAGCAGAUGAUGGCUUCGUGAUCUUGAUGUGUUCUUUUUUGAACUGUUUUCUAAUGGUUGAUAUAAAGUCACUGCUUUUUGUGUUUCUAUAUUGUGUUUAAAGUAUAAGACAGAUAUGUUGAACAAGGGAGAUUAGUUUGAAGUGGGCACAUUUUUAUUCUUUGAGUCUCUAAUUGUCUUCCUCAGUGUAAUAGAGACCUCAGGAUUAUUUGUGUAGUUUGUCUAGUUUGUCUAAAUAGACUGUUUAAGUAAGAUAUAAAAAAUACUUUGUUGUCUCUUUUCACUUCUUGGGACACAGUUCUAGAUCUCACAUCCCCUGGAAUUUAUUCAUUUGCACAUUUAUUCAGAAUCUGACAUAAUUGGUUGCCUACUGUAUUAGACAUGAGGUAUUAAUGUUCUCUAGACAUCCUCAUCUUGUUUGCUACACAUAUGUCCUCAAAUGUUAAGCAGGUAAACACAAGGGAGGAAAUGUCAGGAGGAGGCAGCAAAGGGUCUUAGGAAUCUUAUAGGUACCUUUAAUGGUGGGUAGAGGACAGAGUAGGAGAUUAAUUUGGAUUUUAAAUGCAACACAGGAUCCUGGAACCAGAGCUAAAAGAAAUUCGGUUGAAAGGGACAGCUGCCUUCUUGUCCAGGUGCUCUGAGUCAGCAACAUGAAAAUAGCACUGGCCUCCGGAUUUUAGGUACAGAUGUGCCUCUGUCUCUGAGACCUCAAACGAACCCCUCUGACCCUCAGUUUCCUCAUCUGUAAAAGAAGAUAUUUAGAUUAGGUUCUUCCAUUAGGUCCCCUAGUUUUUAAAUACAAACACAUGUUUUGCUUUCCUGCAACUCAUGGUCUCUUUCGUUUCCUUCCCCAUCUCAUUUGCUUCUCAGCCACUAUAAGGCACACAGUUUAGUAACAUUUGUUAUAAACUUAAACUUUUUCUUAGAUGUACCCAAUUAAUAGGAGAUCAUAUAAAUAAAUAUAAUGUACCCAAAAGACAAAAGAUACCCAUGUUGUAGGAAUAAUAUUAUUAUAC
rnacentral:lncRNA from 1 species